rnacentral:tRNA from 1 species
GAGCAUAUAGCUCAGUGGUAGAGAGCAUGCUUAGCAUGCACGAGGUCCUGGGUUCAAACCCAGUAUCUCCA